GGGGAUUUGACAUGGGCGCAACCUGAUGCAGCGACGCCGCGUGAGGGAUGACGGCCUUCGGGUUGUAAACCUCUUUCAGCAGGGAAGAAGCGGAAGUGACGGUACCUGCAGAAGAAGCGCCGGCUAACUACGUGCCAGCAGCCGCGGUAAUACGUAGGGCGCAAGCGUUGUCCGGAAUUAUUGGGCGUAAAGAGCUCGUAGGCGGCUUGUCGCGUCUGCUGUGAAAGCCCGGGGCUUAACUCCGGGUGUGCAGUGGGUACGGGCAGGCUAGAGUGCAGUAGGGGUAACUGGAAUUCCUGGUGUAGCGGUGAAAUGCGCAGAUAUCAGGAGGAACACCGAUGGCGAAGGCAGGUUACUGGGCUGUUACUGACGCUGAGGAGCGAAAGCAUGGGGAGCGAACAGGAUUAGAUACCCUGGUAGUCCAUGCCGUAAACGUUGGGCACUAGGUGUGGGGGACAUUCCACGUUUUCCGCGCCGUAGCUAACGCAUUAAGUGCCCCGCCUGGGGAGUACGGCCGCAAGGCUAAAACUCAAAGGAAUUGACGGGGGCCCGCACAAGCGGCGGAGCAUGCGGAUUAAUUCGAUGCAACGCGAAGAACCUUACCAAGGCUUGACAUACACCGGAUCGUUCCAGAGAUGGUUCUUCCCUUUUGGGCUGGUGUACAGGUGGUGCAGGUGUCGUCAGCUCGGUCGGA
rnacentral:rRNA from 1 species